UCCUGGUUCCAGUCUCAAAUUCUACAUUUUUGAUUAGAGGUACCACUAGACCAGUCUUAAAAUGGGAUUCAUUUUGAGUACUCUCUAUUUUUGUCCCUUUUGUUCAGUCUGUUUGAAGUCCUACUGUUUUCUUCCUUUGAAAUAUUCCCCAAGAUUUAUCUCUUAGUGUCCAUUCAGCCUCCAACCUUGUGGGCAUGGUUCAUACCACUUCAUAACUGGAUUAAUAAAAUUCUUAUUUAACUUCCCCAACAAUCUCCUUUUGUUCUGCUGACAAACCUGAACAACUUCCAAGCCAGCACAAUUCAUGUAGCUAUUAAUUUGCAACCCUGUAAAGAUCACACAGAGAACAGGAACAGAAACAUCACCUCUGUGCCACAGGACUGAUUGGGAAUCUCUGAACCUCAGUUUACAGUGCUUUCCUGUUGGAGAGGCAGCAUGGCAUAAUGGCUAGGACACUGGAUUUGGUACCAGCAAAACCUGUGUUCAGAUCUUUCCUUGGACUGGGCAAGUCGCUCUUUGUGCCUCAGUUUCCUCAUCUUCAAAACUGGAGUUUGGACUCUGACGUGAACUAAGAAUCUAGUUGGAAAUUCAAGACAUCGACAUAAAAUUUUAAAACAUUGGAUAUUUAAACAUAAAAAAUAUUUAGGUAACAGUGCAAGAGAAUAUUGGUUGACAAAAUGGUUGAUGUAACCAAUAAGCAAGCAUUUAUUAAGCAUUUUCUUUAGGCCAAGUACUGUACUAUGUUGUAGGGAUUCAAAGGUGGACAAAAACAGUUUCUGACUUCAAGGAGCCUAAUAGGGGAGAAAACAUGUACAUAAGGUAUAUUUUGGUAAGCAUGUAAAAAUACAUGAGGAGUGGAUGGAAAUCAACCUUAGAUAGCAAGGCUUUAGCAGUUGGGGAGACUGGAAAAGGCCUCCAGUAAGAGGUGACUAUUGAGCUGAGAAGCCAGGGAUUUUAAGAGGCAGAAGUUAGAAGGCAGGAAUGGCCAUUGCAAAGGCUCAGAGAUGGGAGAUAGAGUGUCAUGUUUGAGGAAUAGCAAAUAGGCCAGGAUUACUAGGGAGAAGAUUGUGUAGAGGAGACUGAUGUGUAAAAAGAUUGUAAAGGUAGGAAAGGGCCAGGCUGUGGAUGAAGCACUUCAUAUUUGAUUUUGGAAGUAAUAGGGAACUUCUGGUUUUAUUGGGGGUGGAAGUAUAAGGUGUUGCGGCAUGGUUAGAACUACACUUUAGGAAAAUCACUGUGGUAGCUGUGUGACUGGAGUGGAAGAAUACUUGAAGCAAGGAGACCAAUUAAAAUUAUUGUAGUAGUAUAGGUCAGAGGUGGUGAGGACCUGAAUUAUGGAGAUAGCUGUAUGAGUCAUUGUGAAGGUAAAAAGGAUAAAGAUUUAGUAACUAAUUGGAUACAUGGACUAGUGAGGGUAAGGAGCCAAAGAUGACACAGACCUGGAGCUUGUGAGACUGGGAGGAUGGUAAUGUCCUUGCCAAUAAUAGGAGAGUUUAGGGUUUUGAGGAAAAUAUACUUUUAUUUUGGAUGUAUUAAGUUUAAGAUGCUCAUGGGACAUCUACUAAAAAUGUCGGUGAUGUAGUACUAGAGCUCAGGAGAGAAACCAGGGCUGGAUAUAUAGAUCUGGGAAUCUCCAUAUAAAUCAUUCAAAGGGAUCAAUUCAGGAGAUGUUUUUGAAUGUCUUUUGCGUUCAUAAUCUUGUGCUACAUUCUAUGGGCAAUAUAAAGAAGAACAAUACAUAAUCCUUGCCCUAAUGGAGCUUGCAGACUUACAAGUAAUCUUAUGUGAACAGAUACAGCUGUCAUACAGUGCAUAAUGUUAAAAGAAAAUGGAAGUCUGUGGACUAAAUUGGGCAUAGAGUGUUUUUUUUUGUUAGUAGAACAUAAGCUGAACACCAAAGGGUAUUUAGAAUUGGAACAUUUGAAGAGGAAGGGAAGAGCAAGUUUCAAAUCAGGAGUCAGGAAUGACCAUUGUAGGAUGAUUAGGAUACUGACUUGACUAGGGAGUAGAGUACUUGUAGAAGAAUGGAAUAUAAAUUUCAGUAGGGAUUUGGAGACUUUGUUUUGUGAUGUUCACAGGCUGAGGAUUGUGGACUUCAUCGUUUAGCUUUUAAAGGUUUUGUAAAGAGACAUGACAUUAUGCUGUAGUAGAAAGAGUGUUGGAUUGGGAAUCAGGAGAGACCUCGGCUGAAAUUCUACUCCGACAUUUACAAGUUGUAUGACUAGGUUUCAGUUUCUUUAUCUGUGAAAUGGGGUUAUUAAUAGCUCAGGAUUAUUUUGAGGAUCAAGUGA